CUGCGCACUAGGGGUGUGUCGUGUAUUGGAUUUUUGUGUGACGACAAUAGUGCGGUCGUAACUAGUCCUUAUAGCUACUGCUGUCUGCAGAUAUUGCAAGGAAAAUCUGGGGGGGAAAAGUAUAAAACUUCUCAUUCUCGAGCUAAACAGGCUCUUCAGAACUUACUAUUAAUUCCCUCUCCCACAAUCCGUAUGCUCACUAUUGACUUUGCUGGUGACGUCAACCAUUUCUCUGCUGCGCUGUGCUGCCUUUGCUCUGAGUGGUGCAGCAGGACAGGCAAUGGUUCUGGACUGAUGGCUCCAAAUUUGAUUACCACAAGUGGAAUAAAGGAGAGCCCAAUAACUAUCAAGGUGCCAUUGAUUCAUGCAUUUUGAUGAACUGGGCAGAUGAGAAAGGUUGGAAUGAUUCAGCUGGUAGAGACAAUGUCUUUCCCUCUGUGUGCUCCCUAAGAACCUUUUUCAAAUAAAUGUUCUGUUUACUGUUCAAACAAGUCAU
ensembl:lncRNA